rnacentral:rRNA from 1 species
GUGGGGAAUCUUGCGCAAUGGGCGAAAGCCUGACGCAGCCAUGCCGCGUGAAUGAUGAAGGUCUUAGGAUUGUAAAAUUCUUUCACCGGGGACGAUAAUGACGGUACCCGGAGAAGAAGCCCCGGCUAACUUCGUGCCAGCAGCCGCGGUAAUACGAAGGGGGCUAGCGUUGCUCGGAAUUACUGGGCGUAAAGGGCGCGUAGGCGGACAGUUUAGUCAGAGGUGAAAGCCCAGGGCUGAACCUUGGAAUUGCCUUUGAUACUGGCUGUCUUGAGUACGGGAGAGGUGAGUGGAACUCCGAGUGUAGAGGUGAAAGUCGUAGAUAUUCGGAAGAACACCAGUGGCGAAGGCGACUCACUGGCCCGUUACUGACGCUGAGGCGCGAAAGCGUGGGGAGCAAACAGGAUUAGAUACCUCUGUAGUCC